UUGGAUCCAGACUUUGAUCCUGGCUCAGGACGAACGCUGGCGGCACGCUUAACACAUGCAAGUCGAACGGAGAUAUUCACUUCGGUAAAUAUCUUAGUGGCGGACGGGUGAGUAACACGUGAGGAACCUGCCUCUGAGUGUGGGAUAGCUUCUGGAAACGGAUGGUAAUACCGCAUAACAUUAUUUUAUCGCAUGGUAAGAUAAUCAAAGAUUCAUUGCUCAGAGAUGGCCUCGCGUCUGAUUAGAUAGUUGGUGAGGUAACGGCUCACCAAGUCGACGAUCAGUAGCCGGACUGGGAGGUUGGACGGCCACAUUGGGACUGAGACACGGCCCAGACUCCUACGGGAGGCAGCAGUGGGGAAUAUUGCACAAUGGGGGAAACCCUGAUGCAGCGAUGCCGCGUGGAGGAAGAAGGUUUUCGGAUUGUAAACCCCUGUCGUAAGGGACGAUAAUGACGGUACCUUACAAGAAAGCUCCGGCUAACUACGUGCCAGCAGCCGCGGUAAUACGUAGGGAGCGAGCGUUGUCCGGAAUUACUGGGUGUAAAGGGAGCGUAGGCGGGACGGCAAGUCAGAUGUGAAAUAUACGUGCCCAACAUGUAGACUGCAUUUGAAACUGUCGUUCUUGAGUGAGGUAGAGGUAAGCGGAACUCCUGGUGUAGCGGUGAAAUGCGUAGAGAUCAGGAGGAACAUCGGUGGCGAAGGCGGCUUACUGGGCCUUUACUGACGCUGAGGCUCGAAAGCGUGGGGAGCAAACAGGAUUAGAUACCCUGGUAGUCCACGCCGUAAACGAUGAUUACUAGGUGUGGGGGGACUGACCCCUUCCGUGCCGCAGUUAACACAAUAAGUAAUCCACCUGGGGAGUACGGCCGCAAGGUUGCAACUCAAAGGAAUUGACGGA
rnacentral:rRNA from 1 species